rnacentral:tRNA from 1 species
GCGGGAAUAGCCAAAUGGUAAAGGCACUCGACUAUUAAUCGAGCAGUCAAACGGCUUCCCCACUCGGGUGUUUCAAUUUCUCUCUGACAGCAUUUGCGUCCGGCCGAAGAGGCCCUACAAGCCCUGGCUCUCUGUGUCGCCGGUUCGAAUCCGGCUUUCCCCC